UACGUAGGUGGCAAGCGUUGUCCGGAUUUACUGGGCGUAAAGAGCGCGCAGGCGGUCGUUUAAGUCGAAUGUGAAAGCCCCCGGCUCAACUGGGGAGGGUCAUUCGAUACUGCUCGACUUGAAGGCAGGAGAGGGAAGUGGAAUUCCGGGUGUAGUGGUGAAAUGCGUAGAUAUCCGGAGGAACACCAGUGGCGAAGGCGACUUCCUGGCCUGUUCUUGACGCUGAGGCGCGAAAGCUGGGGGAGCAAACGGG
rnacentral:rRNA from 1 species